GACGAACGCUGGCGGCGUGCUUAACACAUGCAAGUCGAACGGAAAGGCCCUGCUUUUGUGGGGUGCUCGAGUGGCGAACGGGUGAGUAACACGUGAGUAACCUGCCCUUGACUUUGGGAUAACUUCAGGAAACUGGGGCUAAUACCGGAUAGGAGCUCCUGCUGCAUGGUGGGGGUUGGAAAGUUUCGGCGGUUGGGGAUGGACUCGCGGCUUAUCAGCUUGUUGGUGGGGUAGUGGCUUACCAAGGCUUUGACGGGUAGCCGGCCUGAGAGGGUGACCGGCAGAAUGGGGACUGGUGUAGGCCAAAGACCCACGGGGGGGCAGGGGGGGGGAAUGAUGGAAAAAGGGGGGGAGGCUGGAUGCAGAAGCGGCGGGUGGGGGAGCGGGGCUUUGGGGUUGAAAACCGCUUUCGCCGGUGACGAAGGGGGGGGGAGGGUAGGGGAUAAAGAGACACGGACAAGCUACGUC
rnacentral:rRNA from 1 species